rnacentral:rRNA from 1 species
AACGAACGCUGGCGGCAGGCUUAACACAUGCAAGUCGAACGCCCCGCAAGGGGAGUGGCAGACGGGUGAGUAACGCGUGGGAAUCUACCCAGUUCUACGGAACAACAGUUGGAAACGACUGCUAAUACCGUAUACGCCCUACGGGGGAAAGAUUUAUCGCUCUGGGAGGGGCCCGCGUCCGAUUAGCUAGUUGGUGGGGUAACGGCCUACCAAGGCGACGAUCGGUAGCUGGUCUGAGAGGAUGAUCAGCCACACUGGGACUGAGACACGGCCCAGACUCCUACGGGAGGCAGCAGUGGGGAAUAUUGGACAAUGGGCGAAAGCCUGAUCCAGCAACGCCGCGUGAGGGAUGACGACCUUCGGGUUGUAAACCUCUUUCAGCGCCGACGAAGCGCAAGUGACGGUAGGCGCAGAAGAAGCACCGGCCAACUACGUGCCAGCCGCCGCCGUAAAAC